GCUCGCGUAGCUCAGCUGGUAGAGCAGCUGAUUUGUAAUCAGCAGGUCGUCGGUUCGAGUCCGACCGCGAGCU
rnacentral:tRNA from 1 species